UACGGGGGGAGCAAGCGUUGUUCGGAUUUACUGGGCGUAAAGGGCGCGUAGGCGGUAGCACAAGUCAGUUGUGAAAUCUCCGGGCUUAACUCGGAAAGGUCAACUGAUACUGUGCGACUAGAGUGCAGAAGGGGCAACUGGAAUUCUCGGUGUAGCGGUGAAAUGCGUAGAUAUCGAGAGGAACACCUGCGGCGAAGGCGGGUUGCUGGGCCGACACUGACGCUGAGGCGCGAAAGCCAGGGGAGCGAACGGG
rnacentral:rRNA from 1 species